CCCCCGUCCUCGCACGCCCAUGACACCCCCCUCGUGCACACGGGGUCUGUGCACUGGUGUGUGCACGGCCCUUGCACACGCGUGUGCCCAUGCUGGCACACGCACGUGGGGACGCACACGCGGAGCCUCGCACCACAUGCACGACCCCCUGCGUGUGCAAGGGGCCCCGCACACGUGCGCACACGCAGCCCCACGCACACACACACACUUCCAUGCACGUGUGCACACGGCUAGGCCCAGGCGCAUCCCCGCACAUGGACACGUGUGCACGCGACUGUGCACACACGCACGUGACCGUGCACACGCAGCCCCGUCACGUGCCCGAGUCCUGUGCACGCCUGUCCACGCGUGCACACGCAGCCCUGCACACACAUAUAGACACGUAUGUGCACACGCGGCCCUGCACGCCCAGAGCCACGCACACAUCCAUGCACGCACACUUGUGCACGCACAUGCACGCAGCCCUGUGCGCACACGAGCACAUGCACAGCCCCACACCCGCUUACACGCGUGCCCCAGACCUGCACGGCCCCACACACGCACCCUGCACACGUGCACACACCCCCUCGUGCCCUGCACGCAUCCACGUGCACACCCUGCGUGCACAGCCGUGCACACGCAUGCACCCUGCACGCACACGCCUGUGCACACACACACACACCCUGCUUGCACACACAGUCCUGCACACGUCCAUGCACAGCUGUACACACACACACACCCCCAUGCAUGCACACACACAACUGUGCACACACACAGUGCAUGCUCCUGCCCAUGCACACGCACCCCCGUGCAUGCACACGUCCAUGCACACACCCCCGUGCAUGCACACACAAAACUGUGCACGCACACGUCCAUGCACACACACCCCCAUGCACACACACGCACCCCGUGCAUGCAUAUGUCCAUGCACACACACACACACCAUGCACACACGCAUCCAUGCACACUCACCCAUGCAUGCACACAUCCAUGCACACUCACCCCCAUGCACACAUGCACCCCGUGCACACACACAUCCACGCACACGCACCCCAUGCAUGCACACACACCCCAUGCACGCGCACAUCCAUGCACACUCACCCCAUGCAUGCACACACAUCCAUGCACACUCACCCCAUACAUGCACACGCACCCCUGUGCAUGCACACGCACCCCCGUGCAUGCACACAUCCAUGCACACUCACCCCAUGCAUGCACACGCACCCCCGUGCAUGCACACAUCCAUGCACGCACACCCCCGUGCAUGCACACACACACACCCCGUGCACACNNNNNNNNNNNNNNNNNNNNNNNNNNNNNNNNNNNNNNNNNNNNNNNNNNNNNNNNNNNNNN
rnacentral:lncRNA from 1 species